AGCGAACGCUGGCGGCAGGCCUAACACAUGCAAGUCGAACGAACCCUUCGGGGUUAGUGGCGGACGGGUGAGUAACACGUGGGAACGUGCCUUUAGGUUCGGAAUAACUCAGGGAAACUUGUGCUAAUACCGAAUGUGCCCUUCGGGGGAAAGAUCUAUCGCCUUUAGAGCGGCCCGCGUCUGAUUAGCUAGUUGGGGAGGUAAAGGCUCACCAAGGCUACGAUCAGUAGCUGGUCUGAGAGGAUGACCAGCCACAUUGGGACUGAGACACGGCCCAAACUCCUACGGGAGGCAGCAGUGGGGAAUCUUGCGCAAUGGGCGAAAGCCUGACGCAGCCAUGCCGCGUGGAUGAUGAAGGUCUUAGGAUUGUAAAAUCCUUUCACCGGUGAAGAUAAUGACUGUAGCCGGAGAAGAAGCCCCGGCUAACUUCGUGCCAGCCGCCGCCGUAAAAC
rnacentral:rRNA from 1 species